AGGAGCUGAAUGAUCAAUGUAGCAGUCACCAUAGACUUUAAAAGAAAUGACAUGAUGGUCACUCAUCAUGAUCCCAUCUGUUAUCUUAGGUAGUCAUUGGUGGAUUGGAGAAGUAGCAGUAACAUUUGUACUUUAUGCAGAUAUCACACCUGAUAUAACAUGGGAGUCACGGGCGUUUGAACCAUGUUGUUGGGAGACUGGUGUUAUUUAACUAUAUUGUGGUAGCUGAUACCCAUUCUUAUUUGAUCCCUUUAAGGUGAAGACUUUCUCCAGCAGACUAACUACAGCCCAGACUCCUCUCUGAACUCCAGCAUAAUGUAUCUUAGCUUGAAGUUCCUAUAGGUUAGUUUAAACUCAAAAUGUCCAAAACAGAACAGAGGUGGACUAGCCAGCCCUUUACAGAAGUAGCCGGUAUUGGUCUUUGCUUCCUCUCACUCAUCUAAGGGUCUCAUGUACCUUUUCAUCUAAAGGCCAGGGAUCGAACCUGCAACCUCAUGGUUCCUUGUCAGACUUGUUUCCAUUGAGCCACAAUGGGAACUCCCAGGCCAUCUGCCUUUAAAUAAAUCUUUGAACUAAGGAAAGAACUUUCAUAAUCCUAAUUCUGACAGCGCUGUGAUUAUCUAUAUUCUCAUCCAUCCUAUGGCAGGGGCCCAUUUCCUCCUACCCCUUUCAGUGGGCCAAAAAAAGAUUCUUAAGCUUUAUUUAAUAUUUCCUCAUAUUAUCAUGAGUAUUAUUAAAUCAGACUCCUGUCUUUUGUCCUGAAGAAAAACAAUUACAUUAUUUUAUUAUAGCUUUCUUUUUAUAAACGAAUAUAAGUGUUAUGACUUUUUCUGAAUCUAGUUCUAAUUCCCAGUGUUCUUUGCUUUUGCAAUCUUGGUUAUGUAGUCGGACUUAGGAUCUGCACAUGAUGGAGGACAAGGAUGCCUUUAUUAAGAGCCAUAAUAGGCCUUCUCCGUUGCGUGGACACAACAUUUUUCAGAGUAACAGCCUGGUGCAGUGAGGGUAUUUACUUUGGGGACAAAAGGACCCAAAUUUGGAUUCUCAUAUUGCAGCUUGCUGACAAAGUGAUCUUAAGCAAGACAUUUUAUUUAUAUAUUUAUUUUUUCUAUUUCUUGGGCCGCUCCUACGGCAUAUGGAGGUUCCCAGGCUAGGGGUCGAAUCGGAGCUGUAGCUGCCAGCCUACGCCACAGCCACAGCAACGCGGGCUCUGAGCCGCGUCUGCAACCUACACCACAGCUCAUGGCAACGCCGGAUUGUUAACCCACUGAGCAGGGGCAGGGACCGAACCCACAACGUCAUGGUUCCUAGUCGGAUUCGUUUAACCACUGCACCACGAUGGGAACUCCAAGCAAGACAUUUUACUAGAUUUGUUUUCUUACCUAUCAAGUGAGAUUAAUAAGAUAUUUUAAAUUUUUUCUUUUUUGGCUGCAUCUACGGUAUAUGGAAGUUCCUGGGCCAGGGAUCAAAUCGGCGACCUCUGCCACAGCUGUGGCAAUGCCGGAUCCUUAACCCACUGUCCCCUAUGCCAGGCUGGGGAUCCAACCAGUGCAGCUACAGAGACAAUGCUAGAUCAUUAACCCACUGCCCCACAGUGGGAACUCCUCAAGUGAGAUUAUUAAUACAAGCUCUGCACAUUCUUGGAGGCUUGUGGUAAGGUAAAGUGAUGAUCAAAUAUGAUAGUAUAUGAAAACACUCCAUAAAUUGAGGAGCACUGUAUGAAUAUAAGUUCUUUUUUUCUACUUGCUUCUCUUAUUCUGUGUGUACCAUAAGCAUUAUGCACAAAAAUCACUAUCUCCAUUUUUUUGCAGUUAACCAUUAUCCUAAAUGCAAAUUAGCAACUUGAAGCCCAAGUACAAUCAGUUCAACUGCUUUGUUCAAAUUGAACUACAUUUUGGGAGGGGGGGUGCCCUGUGUUGUUUUUUUUCAGACCCGUGUGCCAGGCUAGAUGACGUGGUCCCCAUGUGAGGCUGAAUUCUGUGCCUGGACUUUCAUGUGCCCCCAGGGCUCACCCUCCACCUCUCUCCUCCCUGCUCCCUCAGUGCCUGACUUGCUGUCCUUCCUGUCUGUUCUCAAAUCCAGGUUUCUCACCUGGCUGCAGUUGAGAACUUAGGACAGUUCUGUUUCCUAAGCUGAGGGAUAGUGGCCCCCUCUGCUCCCAGUCCAGAUCCCCAUCCAUCUGUGGAUGGAGGUCAGAGGUGAAGGACCUUGAACCUGCGGCCUCUGCAGACCCUGCAGCCAAAGGUACCUCUAGAAAUUCCUGGCAUCAGGGAAGAUUUCACCGAACAUUUGGGAGUUUUGUAUCAUUAUGUAGCUUCACCUUUAAAGCUCUGCAAUCCAGCAGUUUCCCUCAGGUUCGUGUAUGAUAUUUCCACUCUGCUUAAAACACUCCUAGGUGUUUCGUCUGUUUCCUACCAAAACAGAGAAUAACAUUAUGUAUUAUUGGGCCAGUUUUCCAAAGCCUGGCCAAUUUCCUAUUAAUCUAUUUUAGACACAGUCCAACAUAAAACAGAUUUUGAUAAUUUAUGUAAUGGUCUUUUUUUGGUACCUCAACUGAAGUAAUAUCAUAGAGAAAUUCAGGAAUUAAAAAAAAAAACACUUAAUUUUGACAUAUAGAGGAAUUGUGGCCUUCACUAGUUAUUAUUCUGUAAUAUUUUUUUAUGUGACAAAAUUGGUCUGGUUUUGAAGCUCUGAUAUCUCAAAUGAUCAUUUCAUUUGGACACUAUAUUGAAAUUCUUGUAGCAAGUGAUAAUCCAACUCUAGAGGAAAAGCAAAUGUAUUGGUUCACGGUAAUGACAAGUUCAGGCAUGGCUGGAUCAGAGUGAAAGUGAAAUCCCAAGGACAGCCAUGGGAAUUGUUGUUUUCUGUGCUGUCUCCUUUCUCAGACAGGCACUUCUCUUAGAAGGAAAAGUUCACACAAAAGUCCUUAAUUGAGUCUUAUUUGUCUGGCUUGGAUCACAUGCUGUAUUUGAAACAGUUAUGGUCAGAGAGGUGGACGGAGUUUACUGAUUGGCUAGGGCUGGGUCCUGUGAACUGACAGAGGAGGAAAUCCUGGUACUGUUACUCAGCAAAGGGGAUAUUAACUUGGACUGGCAGAAGCAUCAGAUGUCCACUUUAGAUGUCAUUUCAAUAAUAUUUUUAGGCAUCUUAAUUAGGGCCUGGGUCCUAUACAGAUCAGCUCUAUUCUGCCAGCCUCCCUGUACCUGAGGUGAUUGUUUUCUAGGGACCUGCAGAAGAGGGGAAGAUUAAACUGAAACCUUUUGGUCAAUACUUGUUAAAUAAUUCAGGUAGUCUGCAAAGUUGUGGAGCUACAACUAGAGCAGGCGCUGUUGUGGCUCUUGAGGUCAUCAUGUAUAAGAGACAACAUGUAAACAUAAAUCCAAGACCAAAAUAUUUACUAUGAUAUCAUCAUGCAUUGAGUAUUACAGGAGGAAGGGCUUAUAGUCAGUUUGGGAGCAGGGAGUGGGGUAUGGAAAAAUUUAGGGAGUUCCUGUUGUGGCUUAGCUGUAAUGAACUGGCUAGUAUCCAUGAGGAUUCAGGUUCCAUCCCUGGCCCCGAUCAGUGGGUUAAGGAUCCAGCAUUGCUGUGAGCUGCAGUGUAGGUCACAGAUAUGGCUUGGAUCUGGAGUUGUGGUUGUGAUAUAGGCUGGCAGCUGCAGCUCUGAUUCGACCCCUAGCCUGGGAACUUCCAUAUGCUUUGGGUGCCACCCUAAAAAGCAAAAAAAAAAAAAAAAAAAAAAAAG
rnacentral:lncRNA from 1 species